UGAGGAAUCUUGCGCAAUGGGGGAAACCCUGACGCAGCAACGCCGCGUGAGUGAGGAAGGCCUUCGGGUCGUAAAGCUCUGUCAGAUGGGAAGAAAUGGGUGGGGGCUAAUAUCGUCCAUCCUUGACGGUACCAUCAGAGGAAGCACCGGCUAACUCCGUGCCAGCAGCCGCGGUAAUACGGGGGGUGCAAGCGUUGUUCGGAAUCAUUGGGCGUAAAGCGCGCGCAGGCGGCUUGGUCGGUCAGAUGUGAAAGCCCUGGGCUUAACCCAGGAAGUGCGAUUGAUACUGCCUCGCUAGAGUACGGGGGAGGGAAGUGGAAUUCCUGGCGUAGAGGGGAAAUUCGUAGAUAUCAGGAGGAACACCGGUGGCGAAGGCGACUUUCUGGCCCGAUACUGACGCUCAGGCGCGA
rnacentral:rRNA from 1 species